rnacentral:sRNA from 1 species
GCCGGGCGCAGUGGCGCACGCCUAUAAUCCCAGCAUCUGGGAGGCUGAGACAGGAGGAUCAUGAGUUCAAAGCCAGCCUCAGCAAUGGUGAGGUGCUAAGCAGCUCAGUAAGACCCUGUCUCUA